GACGAACGCUGGCGGCGUGCUUAACACAUGCGAGUCGUACGGUAAGGCCCUUUCGGGGGUACACGAGUGGCGAACGGGUGAGUAACACGUGAGUAACCUGCCCACAACUUUGGGAUAACGCUAGGAAACUGGUGCUAAUACUGGAUAUGUGCUCCUGCUGCAUGGUGGGGGUUGGAAAGCUCCGGCGGUUGUGGAUGGACUCGCGGCCUAUCAGCUUGUUGGUGGGGUAGUGGCCUACCAAGGCGGCGACGGGUAGCCGGCCUGAGAGGGUGACCGGCCACAUUGGGACUGAGGUACGGCCCAGACUCCUACGGGUGGCAGCAGUGGGGAAUAUUGCACAAUGGGCGCAAGCCUGAUGCAGCAACGCCGCGUGCGGGAUGACGGCCUUCGGGUUGUAAACCGCUUUCAGCAGGGACGAAGCUUUUUGUGACGGUACCUGCAGAAGAAGCACCGGCUAACUACGUG
rnacentral:rRNA from 1 species